AUCCGGGGUGAGGACAGUGUCUGGUGGGUAGUUUGACUGGGGCGGUCUCCUCCCAAAGAGUAACGGAGGAGCACGAAGGUUAGCUAAUCACGGUCGGACAUCGUGAGGUUAGUGCAAAGGCAUAAGCUAGCUUGACUGCGAGAGUGACGGCUCGAGCAGGUACGAAAGUAGGUCUUAGUGAUCCGGUGGUUCUGAAUGGAAGGGCCAUCGCUCAACGGAUAAAAGGUACUCCGGGGAUAACAGGCUGAUACCGCCCAAGAGUUCAUAUCGACGGCGGUGUUUGGCACCUCGAUGUCGGCUCAUCACAUCCUGGGGCUGAAGUAGGUCCCAAGGGUAUGGCUGUUCGCCAUUUAAAGUGGUACGCGAGCUGGGUUUAGAACGUCGUGAGACAGUUCGGUCCCUAUCUGCCGUGGGCGUUGGAAGAUUGAGAGGGGCUGCUCCUAGUACGAGAGGACCGGAGUGGACGAAUCACUGGUGUUCGGGUUGUCAUGCCAAUGGCAUUGCCCGGUAGCUAAAUUCGGAA
rnacentral:rRNA from 1 species